rnacentral:rRNA from 1 species
CGAGUUGUAUGGGAUUCCUAAAAUUCCCAUAGCAAACUGCUCACUAACACAUGAUCAACUUACCCUAUGGAGGACGGUAACCUCGGGAAACUGAGGAUAACGGUCCAUAGUUGAGAAGGCUUGGAAAAGUUUUUCAAUGAAAAAGUCUUGGAAAAUGGUCCAUGAUUGCCGUAGGAUAGGAUUGUGGUCGAUUAUGGUAGUUGGUGAGGUAAUGGCUCACCAAGCCGAUAAUCGAUAGGGGCCGUGAGAGCGGGUGCCCCGAGAUGGGCACUGAGACAGCGACCCAGGCCUUACGAGGCGCAGCAGGUACGAGACCUCCACAAUACACGAAAGUGUGAUGGGGCUACCCAAAGUGUCCCUAAUGGACUGUGGCGGGUGAGUAAUGUUCCCCGCUAGAAAGGAGAGGGCAAGGCUGGUGCCAGCCGCCGCGGUCAAACCAGCUCUUCAAGUGGUCGGGAUAAUUAUUGGGCUUAAAGUGUCCGUAGCCGGUUUCGUAAGUUCCUGGUAAAAUCGGGUAGCUUAACUAUCUGUAUGCUAAGAAUACUGCGGUACUAGAGGGGCGGGAGAGGUCUGAGGUACUACAGGGGUAGGGGUGAAAUCUUAUAAUCCUUGUACGACCACUAGUGGCGAAAUGCGUCAGACUGCAUCGCGCCUGACGGUGAUGGGACGAAAUGCCAGCGGAGCGACCCGGAUUAGGUACCCGGUAGUCCUGGCCGUAAACGAUGCAUACUACGUAAUGGCACGGCCAUGAGCGGUGU